GGGGGGGGCAAGCGUUGUUCGGAAUUACUGGGCGUAAAGGGCUCGUAGGCGGCCAACUAAGUCGGAUGUGAAAUCCCCAGGCUCAACCUGGGAACUGCAUCCGAUACUGGAUGGCUUGAAUUCGGGAGAGGGAUGCAGAAUUCCAGGUGUAGCGGUGAAAUGCGUAGAUAUCUGGAGGAAUACCGGUGGCGAAGGCGGCAUCCUGGACCGAGAUUGACGCUGAGGAGCGAAAGCUAGGAGAGCAAACGGGAUUAGAUACCCCGGUAGUCCUAGCCCUAAACGAUGAAUGCUUGGUGUAGCGGGUAUCGAUCCCUGCUGUGCCGAAGCUAACGCAUUAAGCAUUCCGCCUGGGGAGUACGGUCGCAAGGCUG
rnacentral:rRNA from 1 species